rnacentral:lncRNA from 1 species
ACAAAGGGUUGAAAGACGUAUUUCUGUCUGGACUACAACAUGGAGCACAGUAGAAAUUCUGGAGAUUGUGAGAGUUUCUGCAGAAACCUGCACAGGCUGCCUUGCUUCAAACAAGAGGUGACAGAAAAUUACCUUGACACUUCUAAUGACUGCAGUGUGUGGAGGGAAGACGACAGAAUUUCCUGGGUAGCAUUUGUCUGGGGAAGAUUCACACUUAACCUGCCAGAAGGCCCCGGCAGCUGGCCAUGA